rnacentral:rRNA from 1 species
AUUGAACGCUGGCGGCAGGCCUAACACAUGCAAGUCGAGCGGAUGAAGGGAGCUUGCUCCUGGAUUCAGCGGCGGACGGGUGAGUAAUGCCUAGGAAUCUGCCUGGUAGUGGGGGAUAACGUCCGGAAACGGGCGCUAAUACCGCAUACGUCCUGAGGGAGAAAGUGGGGGAUCUUCGGACCUCACGCUAUCAGAUGAGCCUAGGUCGGAUUAGCUAGUUGGUGGGGUAAAGGCCUACCAAGGCGACGAUCCGUAACUGGUCUGAGAGGAUGAUCAGUCACACUGGAACUGAGACACGGUCCAGACUCCUACGGGAGGCAGCAGUGGGGAAUAUUGGGCAAUGGGCGAAAGCCUGAUCCAGCCAUGCCGCGUGUGUGCAGAAGGUCUUCGGAUUGUAAAGCACUUUAAGUUGGGAGGAAGGGCAGUAAGUUAAUACCUUGCUGUUUUGACGUUACCAACAGAAUAAGCACCGGCUAACUUCGUG